rnacentral:rRNA from 1 species
UAGGGAAUCUUCCGCAAUGGACGAAAGUCUGACGGAGCAACGCCGCGUGAACGAUGAAGGCCUUCGGGUCGUAAAGUUCUGUUGUUAGGGAAGAACAAGUGCUAGUUGAAUAAGCUGGCACCUUGACGGUACCUAACCAGAAAGCCACGGCUAACUACGUGCCAGCAGCCGCGGUAAUACGUAGGUGGCAAGCGUUGUCCGGAAUUAUUGGGCGUAAAGCGCGCGCAGGCGGUUUCUUAAGUCUGAUGUGAAAGCCCCCGGCUCAACCGGGGAGGGUCAUUGGAAACUGGGAAACUUGAGUGCAGAAGAGGAAAGUGGAAUUCCAAGUGUAGCGGUGAAAUGCGUAGAGAUUUGGAGGAACACCAGUGGCGAAGGCGACUUUCUGGUCUGUAACUGACGCUGAGGCGCGAAAGCGUGGGGAGCAAACAGG